UGCAAGUCGAACGAGUUCUCGUUGAUGAUCGGUGCUUGCACCGAGAUUCAACAUGGAACGAGUGGCGGACGGGUGAGUAACACGUGGGUAACCUGCCCUUAAGUGGGGGAUAACAUUUGGAAACAGAUGCUAAUACCGCAUAGAUCCAAGAACCGCAUGGUUCUUGGCUGAAAGAUGGCGUAAGCUAUCGCUUUUGGAUGGACCCGCGGCGUAUUAGCUAGUUGGUGAGGUAAUGGCUCACCAAGGCGAUGAUACGUAGCCGAACUGAGAGGUUGAUCGGCCACAUUGGGACUGAGACACGGCCCAAACUCCUACGGGAGGCAGCAGUAGGGAAUCUUCCACAAUGGACGCAAGUCUGAUGGAGCAACGCCGCGUGAGUGAAGAAGGCUUUCGGGUCGUAAAACUCUGUUGUUGGAGAAGAAUGGUCGGCAGAGUAACUGUUGUCGGCGUGACGGUAUCCAACCAGAAAGCCACGGCUAACUACGUGCCAGCAGCCGCGGUAAUACGUAGGUGGCAAGCGUUAUCCGGAUUUAUUGGGCGUAAAGCGAGCGCAGGCGGUUUUUUAAGUCUGAUGUGAAAGCCCUCGGCUUAACCGAGGAAGCGCAUCGGAAACUGGGAAACUUGAGUGCAGAAGAGGACAGUGGAACUCCAUGUGUAGCGGUGAAAUGCGUAGAUAUAUGGAAGAACACCAGUGGCGAAGGCGGCUGUCUGGUCUGUAACUGACGCUGAGGCUCGAAAGCAUGGGUAGCGAACAGGAUUAGAUAC
rnacentral:rRNA from 1 species